CAUAGCGACUAUCGUGGCAUAUCAAUAAGCGGAGGAAAAGAAACUAACAAGGAUUCCCUUAGUAACGGCGAGUGAAGCGGGAAGAGCUCAAAUUUGAAAUCUUCAAGGUUUUACCUUGACGAAUUGUAGUUUAUAGAAGUGUUUUCUGUUAGUGAAGUUUGGUAAAAGUUCUUUGGAAUAGGACAUCAUAGAGGGUGAGAAUCCCGUAUUUGGUCAUUCCUCCUAGCGUUGUGAUACACUUUCAACGAGUCGGAUUGUUUGGGAAUGCAGUCCAAAAUGGGUGGUAAAUUUCAUCUAAAGCUAAAUAUUGGCGAGAGACCGAUAGCGAACAAGUACCGUGAGGGAAAGAUGAAAAGAACUUUGAAAAGAGAGUUAAACAGUACGUGAAAUUGUCAAAAGGGAAGCGUUUGACACCAGUGUUGUUUUUCCGAAAAUCAAUUACGAAUGUUUUAUUUUUGAGGAGUUAUGACUUCAUCGGCUUGCUCCUUUCUUUAUCGAAACUUUCUUAAUGCACUUUUCGGUUAACAAGUCAACAUCAAUUUUCUUUUGUUGUAAAAGGGUAUGAGGAAGGUGGCUUUCUUUUCGGAGAAAGUGUUUAUAGCCUUGUGCCUCUGCAAUCGGAGAGAUUGAGGUCUGCAGCGUAGAUCCUUCGGGGUUAGAUACGUUUGUGCUAAGUUAUAGCUUUUCUAUAGACAACUUGUUGACUAUGUUUCAGUCAUGUAGCUUACUCGCAUGACGCUAUUUUACCUACGCUUAGGAUGUUGACGAGACUGUCGAUCUC
rnacentral:rRNA from 1 species